rnacentral:rRNA from 1 species
GACGAACGCUGGCGGCGUGCUUAACACAUGCAAGUCGAACGGAAAGGCCCUGCUUUUGUGGGGUGCUCGAGUGGCGAACGGGUGAGUAACACGUGAGUAACCUGCCCUUGACUGUGGGAUAACUUCAGGAAACUGGGGCUAAUACCGGAUAGGAGCUCCUGCUGCAUGGGGGGGUUUGGAAAGUUUCGGCGGUUGGGGAUGGACUCGCGGCUUAUCAGCUUGUGGGGGGGGUAGUGGCUUACCAAGGCUUUGACGGGUAGCCGGCCUGGGAGGGUGACCGGCCACAUUGGGACUGAGAUAGGGCGCAGACUCCUACGGGAGGCAGCAGUGGGGAAUAUUGCACAAUGGGCGGAAGCCUGAUGCAGAAACGCCGCGUGCGGGAUGACGGCUUUCGGGUUGUAAACCGCUUUAGCCUGUGACGAAGCGUGAGUGACGGUAAUGGGUAAAGAAGCACCGGCUAACUACGUG